rnacentral:misc_RNA from 1 species
GAACAUAAUGACAACAAGCCAGUGACUCACAGCCGGGAUUCCCAAGAGGUUAAAUUGCCUGAGGGAUUAGAAAUGUUGAAAAUUUUCAAGAACUAUGAAACGGAUACCUCUCUCUUGGAUGAUUUCACCUAUUAUGAUGAGAGGGAGAAGUCCUUGCUUGAAAAGAAGAGUAAGCAGCGUCCUCUUCCACCUGGUAGUGCUGCAGCUGACACAAUAAGUCAACUAGCCGAUAGUCUUGCUGGCACACUUAACUUGGAAGGCAACAAGAAGUUGCCUUGAUAGAGUUUGUAGUGCACUACAUUAAGCCAGUAGCAGAUUCCAGAGGCAGGUUUAUUGCAGUCAUUCAAUGUUUAUUUGUUUGGGCAACCAACUGGGUCAUAUAGUUAAGAAGUUGCCUUGGAUAGAGUUUGUAGUGCGCUAGCAGAUUUCAGAAGCAGGAUUUUCUGCAGUUAUUCAAUGUUUACUUGAUUGAGCAACCAACUGGCUCAUAUAGAUAAGGAGAUUGCUAACGCCUAACAGCGUUUUGGGAGGUGGCCUUUCAUCACCUUCGGAUCAGAAAACUUUCUCUUUCCUUCAUUUGUCAUUUGUUCAAUUAGUUGUUAUUUGCGGUUCUUGGGCAAGGAGAGAGCAGCCAGUAGUGUUAGUGCUUAACUGUUUUCCCAUUAUCACUUCGUUGUUUCUAUAAAGUAGGUGAUGGCAAGCAAUACAAGAAGCCAUCCGACAUUUGGAAAUUUGUGGAUCUCUCCAGGCUGAUGUCAUAUUGUACUCUAGCUCUUGUUAGUUUCAGGCGGUACCCAGGGCUGCUUUGUUAUUGCUGUAGAAUUGCCAAAAUGGGUGAUAAUUGGCAGGAUGCUGCAACAUGUUUACAGAAAUCAAACAAGUUUUAUAUUGAGCCUGUAUUUCAUGAUCAACUCAAAUAAUGUCUGGCUUUGAUAGUCAGAUUAUUUCUUUUAUGGAGUCAGGUAUCAAUGUUUGUCUGUUGCACUAUGGAGUCCGGUAUUAUUGUUUUCUCUGUUGCAUUAGAUUCG